GAAUAUUAUUAUAGAUAGAAAUAAACUGUAAACAGCAAUAAUGUUCAGCAAAGUAAGAUUUACAAAUAAGUCAACAUGACCGAAAUGGUCAGUUGACCCCUUUAGGAGUUAUUGCCCUUUAUAGUCAAUUUUUAACCAUUUUUCGUAAAUCUUAGUAAUCUUUUACAAAAAAUCUUCUCCUCUGAAACUACUGGGUUAAAUUAAUCCAAACUUGGCCACAAUCAUUUUUGGGGUAUUUAGUUUAAAAAAUGUGUCCGGUGACCCGGCCAUCCAACCAAGAUGGCCGCCAUGGCUAAAAGUAGAACAUAGGGGUAAAAUGCAGUUUUUGACUUAUAACUCAAAAACCAAAGCAUUUAGAGCAAAUCUGACUGGGGUAAAAUUGUUUAUCAGGUCAAGAUCUAUCUGCCCUUAAAUUUUCAGAUGAAUCGGACAACCCGUUGUUGGGUUGCUGCCCCUAAAUUGGUAAUUUUAAGGAAAUUUUACUGUUUUUGGUUAUUAUCUUGAAUACUAUUAUAGAUAGAGAUAAACUGUAAACAGCAAUAAUGUUCAGAAAAGUAAGAUUUACAAAUAAGUCAACAUGACUGAAAUGGUCAAUUGACCCCCUAAGGAGUUAUUGUCCUUUAUAGUCAAUUUUUAACAAUUUUCAUAAAAUUUGUAAAUUUUUACUAACAUUUUCCACUGAAACUACUGGGCCAAAUUCAUUAUAGAUAGAGAUAAUUGUAAGCAGCAAGAAUGUUCAGUAAAGUAAGAUGUACAAACACAUCACCAUCACCAAAACACAAUUUUGUCAUGAAUCUAUCUGCUUCUUUUGUUUAAUAUUCACAUAUACCAAGGUGAGCGACACAGGCUCUUUAGAGCCUCUAGUUUAAAACCCACCUGCAAAAAUAUUUUUAAAAUAGUUACAGCCAAAUGAUUUGAGUGUGUAGGUGUUCAAUUGUCAAUUUUGUUUACCUUGCUAAACUGAAAUCAUUAUUAAGUUAGAUACACUACCCUCCAUUCGUGGUAAGUCUAGUCUGAAAGACAGAUAGAUUUGUUAUCUGUUGGAGUAGUCUACUCUUAAAGGAGGGUAGUAUACCACACACAAUGACUUCACCGCUCAGCUGACAAGCGAAGAUUCUGUUUGAAUCUACACACUGAAGUCAUUUUACUGGAAGAGUAUUUAUUAAAAAUGUUAUUCAUAGCUUAAUUGAAUUUCCCACCAAAAUCAUUAGUAUUAUGUUAGUCUGAUCCGACUGAAUAUUUUUUAUGUUAAACUUUAUAUGAUUUUUUAUGUCAAAGACUAGUCUGGUUGUGAUUUUUAAGUCAAAGUCUAGUCUGGUUGUGAUUAUUUUUUAUAAAGUCUUAGGUUGGUUCUUAUUUAGUUUUUGUUAAUAAUUGAACAUACACUGGUAUGUCUAGUCUAAGUCCUUGAUAAUAAUUAAGUUACGUCUAAUAUUUGUAUUGUUUUUAUAAGAUUUAAUUUAUAGAUAUAAUGAUGUUAUUGAAAAGUUUGUAUGUUAAUGGUGGAUUGUGCCUGUAUUAAUUGAUGGCCUAAAUUAGAUUGAAGAAUUAAUUUUGAGAAGAAAUUGGGUGCAUCACCAAAAAUUACACAAUUCUUUGUGUUCACUAAAUAUUUCCAUUCGUUUCUGGUCAUCUCUGCAAAUCUGUUGGAUUCAGAUUUUCUUUACUCAUAAGCUAGGUCCAAUUUAUUUAUCUGAAAAUUUUAAAAGGUACAAUAGUGUAAGAAGGGACUUUUACAACUUGUGUUGGUUGCAUAGUACCUACCCGUCUUGAAAUAGACAAAAUUUAGUCUUAUACAAAUCUUGAUAUAAUAGGUUUAAAGAAAUCUUACUAAUUGAUUCAUUCUAAUAUUGUACUUAUUUAUAUAAAGGAAAUAACUUAAUACAGUGCUUUGUUUAGUUUUAAAUGCACAAGUCAAAUUAAAGGAAUAGUUUUGCCACCUCAUUGCUCACAAUUUUUUGUUUAAACAAGGUUGAUACAUGUAGCUUCUUCUUGUCAAAAUUAUAUUGUACAUUUGAACUACAUUGUAUGUCACUAUGAGAAUUUGAGUUUUACAGUAUUUUUCACAGAACAUUCCAUCCUGAUUUUAUUUUUAAGCAGGUUUUU
rnacentral:lncRNA from 1 species